rnacentral:rRNA from 1 species
CCUACGGGGGGCAGCAGUGAGGAAUAUUGGUCAAUGGACGAGAGUCUGAACCAGCCAAGUCGCGUGAAGGAUGACUGCCCUAUGGGUUGUAAACUUCUUUUAUAUGGGAAUAAAAUGUUCCACGUGUGGGAUUUUGUAUGUACCAUAUGAAGAAGGAUCGGCUAACUUCGUGCCAACAGCCGCGGUAAUACGGAGGAUCCAAGCGUUAACCGGAUUUAUUGGGUGUAAAGGUAGCGUAGGUGGAUUGUUAAGUCAGUUGUGAAAGUUUGCGGCUCAACCGUAAAAUUGCAGUUGAAACUGGCAGUCUUGAGUACAGGAGAGGUGGUCGGAAUUCGUGGUGUAGCGGUGAAAUGCUUAGAUAUAACGAAGAACGCCGAUGGCGAAGGCAGUUGACUGGACUGCAACUGACACUGAGGCUCGAAAGUGUGGGUAUCAAACAGGAUUAUAUACCCUAGUAGUC